GAUUGCAGUCAUAUCACCCUGUAGCCCAAAAGAUGUCACCCACUAAAACGAAGCAGGGUUAAGCAUAGUUAGAGUUUGGAUCGGAGACCUCCUGGGAAAACUAGGUUGCUGUUGGAA
rnacentral:rRNA from 1 species